rnacentral:rRNA from 1 species
UACGUAGGCAGCAAGCGUUGUUCGGAGUUACUGGGCGUAAAGGGUGUGUAGGCGGUUCUUUAAGUUUGGUGUGAAAUCUCCCGGCUCAACUGGGAGGGUGCGCCGAAUACUGAGGGACUAGAGUACGGGAGAGGAAAGUGGAAAUCCUGGUGUAGCGGUGAAAUGCGUAGAUAUCAGGAGGAACACCGGUGGUGUAGACGGCUUUCUGGACCGUAACUGACGCUGAGACACGAAAGCGUGGGUAGCAAACAGG